rnacentral:rRNA from 1 species
CCUACGGGAGGCAGCAGUGGGGGAUAUUGCACAAUGGGGGGAACCCUGAUGCAGCGACGCCGCGUGGGUGAAGAAGCGCCUCGGCGCGUAAAGCCCUGUCAGCAGGGAAGAAAAUGACGGUACCUGAAGAAGAAGCCCCGGCUAACUACGUGCCAGCAGCCGCGGUAAUACGUACGGGGCAAGCGUUAUCCGGAUGUACUGGGUGUAAAGGGGGCGCAGACGGCGAUGCAAGCCAGGAGUGAAAGCCCGGGGGCGAACCCCGGGACUGCUCUUGGAACUGCGUGGCUGGAGUGAAGGAGGGGCAGGCGGAAUUCCUGGUGUAGCGGUGAAAUGCGUAGAUAUCAGGAGGAACACCGGUGGCGAAGGCGGCCGGCUGGACUGCAACUGACGUUGAGGCCCGAAAGCGUGGGGAGCAAACAGGAUUAGAUACCCUUGUAGUC